CGUUCCCGGGCCUUGUACACACCGCCCGUCACACCAUGGGAGUUGGUUUUACCCGAAGGCGUUUCGCUAACCGCAAGGAGGCAGGCGACCACGGUAGGGUCAGCGACUGGGGUG
rnacentral:rRNA from 1 species